rnacentral:rRNA from 1 species
AAGUCGUACAGGUUUCCGUAGGUGAACCUGCGGAAGGAUCAUUAACCUUUCAAAUCAGGGUGCGGCGCGGCCCCCGAGGAGCGGAAACAAUCCUUGGGAGGUAUGCGGGGGCUUCGAGCCCCCCAUUUACGCACGCACGACUGCCAUCCUUACUUUACGAGCACCUUCUGUUCUCCCUCGGCGGGGCAACCUGCCGUUGGAACCGAAUAAACUCUUUUUGCAUCUAGCAUUACCUGUUCCGAAACAAACAAUCGUUACAACUUUCAACAAUGGAUCACUUGGCUCUGGCAUCGAUGAAGAACGCAGCGAAAUGCGAUAAGUAGUGUGAAUUGCAGAAUUCAGUGAAUCAUCGAAUCUUUGAACGCACAUUGCGCCCCUCGGUAUUCCGUGGGGCAUGCCUGUUCGAGCGUCAUCUACACCCUCAAGCUCUGCUUGGUGUUGGGCGUCUGUCCCGCCUCCGCGCGUGGACUCGCCCCAAAUUCAUUGGCAGCGGUCCUUGCCUCCUCUCGCGCAGCACAUUGCGCUUCUCGAGGGGCUACGGCUCGCGUCCAACAAGCACAUUUACCGUCUUUGACCUCGGAUCAGGUAGGGAUACCCGCUGAACUUAAGCAUAU